UACGGGGGGGGGGCAAGCGUUGUUCGGAAUUACUGGGCGUAAAGGGCUCGUAGGCGGCCAACUAAGUCGGACGUGAAAUCCCCAGGCUCAACUUGGGAACUGCGUCUGAUACUGGAUGGCUUGAAUUCGGGAGAGGGAUGCAGAAUUCCUGGUGUAGCGGUGGAAUGCGCAGAUAUCAGGAGGAACACCGGUGGCGAAGGCGGGGUCUCUGGGCAGUAACUGACGCUGAGGAGCGAAAAGCGUGGGGGAGCGAACAGG
rnacentral:rRNA from 1 species